rnacentral:tRNA from 1 species
GUUUAUAUAGUUUAAUUUAAAACCUUACAUUUUCAUUGUAAAAAUAAAAUGAAUAAAUUUUUAUAAAUA